UACGUAGGGUGCAGGCGUUAAUCGGAAUUACUGGGCGUAAAGCGUGCGCAGGCGGUUUCUUAAGUCAGAUGUGAAAUCCCCGGGCUCAACCCGGGAACUGCGUCCGAUACUGGGGGGCUUGAAUCCGGGAGAGGGAUGUGGAAUUCCAGGUGUAGCGGUGAAGUGCGUAGAUAUCUGGAGGAACACCGGUGGCGAAGGCGGCAUCCUGGACCGGUAUUGACGCUGAGGCGCGAAAGCCAGGGGAGCAAACGGG
rnacentral:rRNA from 1 species